GCCGACGUUUGUAUCAACUACGAAGCAGAUGGUCGUCGGUCCUGGGAUAAUCAGUACUGCCAACCAGUCUGUACUGCGUGGAGUUGAUGCCUGGUUCGUGUCCUGCGGAUGUUUCGCGGCCGUAAUCAAAAUAUUCGCGUUUAUACCCACGGCGAAGUCGCUUCGGGUCACCGAGGAACCCGAGGUUGGAGUGCAGAAUUCGGUUAGUUUGUGCGAUCGUGAGGAACCGUGAAUACGAGUCGCGAUUUGCCGAACGACGUGAACCACGGCAGAGGGAAAGAAACAAGAGACGAGUCAACGGAAGAGAGAGAAAGAGAAAGACAACGCGUGGUAUCGGGGCUUGGUGAAUACAGCAACGAAGACAGCGGCCCGGCGGCGUCGAUGAACGAAAACAAUCGCCGUUCCAGCCCCGCUAGAUUUUCCCCGCUUAUCCGAGGAUUCGAUCGCUGUUUAAUUCGUAUGCGCUGCUUUGGUUGGCAGCGUUGCCGCGAGUGUUGCAGUAGAGCUGCCAUUUUCCGAGCGGCGACAGCUCGCUCCGUCCUUUCGUUUGGUUUCGCUCCGUUUCGUUUCGCUUCGCUUCCCUCGGGCCGCCGCUCGCCCGUGUAGCAAAACUAAACAGGCAAAACCAGCCAACGACGGAGAGGCAAGAGGCGUCGCUCCUUGGAUCCCUGGGGAUUACGCGAGGACCAGGACCGGGAACGAGUCCCCGAUUUGAGCAACACGGGUCGGCCGCUCCGCGACCGCUCUGUCGAAACUGGAACCCGGACCAAGGUAUAAAGCGAGUCGUUGCGUUAGCGGGGGCGGAAGCCGCGGCAGCGGGGCAACUGGGGCAACUGGAGGAACCGGGGGAAGCGGGGGUCUUGGAAGC
rnacentral:misc_RNA from 1 species